rnacentral:lncRNA from 1 species
AGGACACUCAGCUGGUGUCAGAAAAUUGCUUGCUGGUGUGAAGAACCUCCUUCUUCCCCCGACACGUGUUGAAAUUUGUGACCAGAACCUUUACCCAGGAGUUCAGUCAUCAGCAGGAAGGGAAACGAGACAGACUCAGUGAGAACUUCGGUGUUGCCGGGAUCCCCAAGAAUGGACUCAGGUCUUCGUCUCAAGUUUCAGGCUGCACAGGGAAAUGCAGAGUCAAAGAACAUAUUGAAAUACGAAUAUGCCCUGUGGUGCCCAGAACUACUGGAAAUAUGUGGGUAGUGGAGAAGAAACUGUAUCUGCAACGUGUGGCACCAGAAGCUGAUGUGUGGGAAAUUCUUCCAAACAGCAAACGUGUAAAACGGUAAACUGAGAAUUUGGUUCUCAUUGCUGUCUUGUCAACAUGGAAGUUCCAUGCUCUUGGAAACAUACUCAACUCUCAGUUUUUGUUUUUUAACAGGAAUCAUACAAAAUAGAAUUUAUAAGAAUUUCUUUGCUGAUAAAGCACAAGCAUGUAUUAAUACUACUGAGAGAGUGUGUCUGUGUGUGAAGCCACAUGUUUUAUCAACCAUACUAAAGACUGAAUUAUCUUUCUAUUCUACCAAUUUAAACAAACAAUAUUCUAAAAUUGUUAUCAUACAAGAGGCAAUUGAAGAAUUUGCCAAAACAUAUAGGACAAAAGUAU